GGGCGUAAAGCGUCCGCAGGCGGUUUUUUAAGUCGAAUAUUAAAUCUCGUAGCCCAACUUCGAGGCUGUAUUCGAAACUGAGAAACUAGAGUUUUCCAGAGGCAAGCGGAAUUCUGUGUGUAGGGGUAAAAUCCGUAGAUACACAGAGGAACACCAAAAGCGAAAGCAGCUUGCUGGGGAAAUACUGACGCUCAUGGACGAAAGCGUGGGUAGCGAACGGGAUUAGAUACCCCGGUAGUCCACGCCGUAAACGAUGGAUACUAGUUGUUGGAGGACUCGAUCCCUUCAGUGACGACGCUAACGCAUUAAGUAUCCCGCCUGGGGAGUACGGUCGCAAGAUUAAAACUCAAAGGAAUAGACGGGGACCCACACAAGCGGUGGAGCACCUGGCUUAAUUCGAUAAUGAGCGAGGAACCUUACCUAGGUUUGACAUCUCGGGAAUUUUCUAGAAAUAGAAAAGUGCCUUAUGGAACCCGAUGACAGGUGCUGCAUGGUUGUCGUCAGCUCAUGCCUUGAGGUGUUCGGUUAAGUCCGUAAACGAGCGCAACCCAUGUCCUGUGUUGCAUUUUUCACAGGAGACUGCCGAUUCAAAGUCGGAGGAAGGUAUGGAUGACGUCAAAUCAGCAUGGCCCUUAUACCUAGGGCUGCACAGGUGCUACAAUGGCUAGUACAAUGGGUAGCAAUGUCGCAAGGCGGAGCCAAUCCCAAAAGCUAGUCUAAGUUCGAAUUGAGGGCUGCAACUCGCCCUCAUGAAGUUGGAAUCG
rnacentral:rRNA from 1 species